rnacentral:lncRNA from 1 species
AAAAGUCAGUUAUCUAAUGAAUUGUUUUGUUGAUUUUCCUACACAUGAACAUGCAGUUCUUAUCUACUCUUCAAAGAUCAUCUGCAAAAGCAUCAAAGACAUCAAAGGAAGAACUGGACAACGGUGGACCUCUGUUGUUGAUGGGACAUUUACUCAUAGGGGAAGGACCUCAUUUAAACCUGGAUACCUUGAAGAAAAAAGGUACAGACAUUCAGAGGAGUUGGUGACUGCAGUUGGAUGAUUUGGAGGUAAGAGUUUGUUUACCAAGCAAUAACCAAAGCAGAAUUCAUUGUUUCCAAGGCUGUUGCAAACCAAAAAUAGGGCAGUAUUGUUUUGUUGAAAAAACGGAGAGAAACUGAUAGCAAGGCUACAUGAACAGAAGGGCAAUCACUCUGGGUUAGAUACGCUAUUGAGGAAAAUUUGCAGGCAAAACAGGUUGUUCUUCUGACAGCUAGUCAGAGAAAUUGGUCUAUAAUUUGCCAAGCUUACAGUUUGUUUAUGUCUUACCUCAUUAUAGAAUCAAUUUGAGAUAAAAUGUUAAGACUGAUAAGGUUGCUCAGGAACUAGUCCCUAAAUAUUCCCAUUAGAAUUUCUUAGCUCUAUAAUAAACCCCUUAUAUCAUUAAAAAUGGAUCA